rfam:Bombyx mori DNA, contig: Bm_scaf12_contig9733, strain: p50T/Dazao, build 2, whole genome shotgun sequence.
UUAACUCAAAUUUGUAUGGAGUUAGAAGGUUUGCCUGCGUUUGCCGCUAGGGGCGCUGUUGCAACUCCAUACAAAUUUGAUUUA